rnacentral:rRNA from 1 species
CUCUUGAUAUAAUUUCAAGUAACCUCUGCCCUAUGAAUAGUUUAAAUGGCCGCAGUACUUUGACUGUGCAAAGGUAGCAUAAUCACUUGUCUCUUAAUUGGAGGCUGGAAUGAAGGAGGCGACGAAAUUUGGGCUAUUGUUCUAUAUUUUAAAAUUAACAUAAAGGUCAAAAGGCCUUUAUACACCAGAGGGACGAUAAGACCCUAUAAAACUUUACUAUAGGUAGGGUCAUAUAGGCGAGAUUUGAGGCUAUAGUUUGGCUGGGGUGGUUUAUAUAAAAACAAUUGAAUUUUUAAUAUUUUAAAUAAAAUAUGAGAGCUCUAAUAAGAAAUGGACAAGUUACUUUAGGGAUAACAGCAUAAUUCCCCUAGAGAGUCCUAAUUGGCAGGGGAGCUUAUGACCUCGAUGUUGAAUUGGGAUAUCUAAUAUAAGUAGAGAUAUAUUAAGAUAGUCUGUUCGACUAUUAAAUUCCC